GCAGACACAUUCCAGCCAAUCAGCAGCAGACCCUCCCUCCCAGACCAUCCCACCUCCUGGACAGCUCACUAAGAAUGCAGCUUCACAAUGAAUGUAAAAUGGAUGCUGUCCAGGAGGUGGGAGGGUCUUGGAGGGAGGGUCUGCUGCUGAUUGGCUGGAAUGUGUCUG